rnacentral:ribozyme from 11 species
GACAGAAUACACAAAAACGAAAACCAAGAAAAGUAAAAGUUUCUUUUGACAUGUCUUCUCUCUCUUCUUUUCUGUCUUUCUUUUUGUUCGAAUUUCAACUCUUUCGUUCUUU